rnacentral:rRNA from 1 species
GACGAACGCUGGCGGCGUGCUUAACACAUGCAAGUCGAACGGUAAGGCCCUUCGGGGUACACGAGUGGCGAACGGGUGAGUAACACGUGGGUGAUCUGCCCUGCACUUCGGGAUAAGCCUGGGAAACUGGGUCUAAUACCGGAUAGGACUCCUGGCGUCAUGGUUGGGGGUGGAAAGCUUUUGCGGUGUGGGAUGGGCCCGCGGCCUAUCAGCUUGUUGGUGGGGUAAUGGCCUACCAAGGCGACGACGGGUAGCCGGCCUGAAGAGGGUGACCGGUCACACUGGGACUGAGAUACGGCCCAGACUCCUACGGGAGGCAGCAGUGGGGAAUAUUGCACAAUGGGCGCAAGCCUGAUGCAGCGACGCCGCGUGAGGGAUGACGGCCUUCGGGUUGUAAACCUCUUUCAGCUAUGACGAAGCGCAAGUGACGGUAGUAGCAGAAGAAGGACCGGCCAACUACGUGCCAGCAGCCGCAGUAA